rnacentral:rRNA from 1 species
AUUGAACGCUGGCGACAUGCCUUACACAUGCAAGUCGAACGGCAGCACGGGUGCUUGCACCUGGUGGCGAGUGGCGAACGGGUGAGUAAUACAUCGGAACAUGUCCUGUAGUGGGGGAUAGCCCGGCGAAAGCCGGAUUAAUACCGCAUACGAUCUACGGAUGAAAGCGGGGGACCUUCGGGCCUCGCGCUUUAGGGUUGGCCGAUGGCUGAUUAGCUAGUUGGUGGGGUAAAGGCCUACCAAGGCGACGAUCAGUAGCUGGUCUGAGAGGACGACCAGCCACACUGGGACUGAGACACGGCCCAGACUCCUACGGGAGGCAGCAGUGGGGAAUUUUGGACAAUGGGCGAAAGCCUGAUCCAGCAAUGCCGCGUGUGUGAAGAAGGCCUUCGGGUUGUAAAGCACUUUUGUCCGGAAAGAAAUCCUUGGCCCUAAUACGGUCGGGGGAUGACGGUACCGGAAGAAUAAGCACCGGCUAACUACGUG